CCUACGGGAGGCAGCAGUGGGGAAUAUUGGACAAUGGGCGAAAGCCUGAUCCAGCCACGCCGCGUGUGCGAAGAAGGUCUUCGGAUUGUAAAGCACUUUAAGUUGGGAGGAAGGGCAGUUACCUAAUACGUAUCUGUUUUGACGUUACCGACAGAAUAAGCACCGGCUAACUCUGUGCCAGCAGCCGCGGUAAU
rnacentral:rRNA from 1 species